rnacentral:lncRNA from 12 species
UGUAAGUCCUUUUUUUGAGAAUUCUGAAUAUUUCAUUUAGUGCACUAUUAUCAAUAAUUGGCUGCAAAUACAAUGGGUAAUACAACAUUUCAGUAUAUUGCCCCAUUAUGUCACAUUUCCCAGCCCCUAUAGAAAUAAAUUUUAUCCUGCGAUGCUUGUAAACUUCAUAAGAUCAAGUAGUGGAUAUUGUAGUGCACAUUGGAAUGACCCUUGUAGAUUGAGACACUCAUUCCCCAACUGCUGGGAGAGCUGCAAGCUGACAGCUUACAGGUAAAAGUUUUCUUAGACAAGGGAGCUGCCUCCUCUAAGCAUUUGCUCUGUCCUGAGGGCAUAUGGUAUCUGAAGAUUGAAUGUAGAACAUCUUGGAAGAACCACCAGAAUUUCAACACUCCCUAUGGUGUUGGCUGAAGUCUCUUUUGUUUUUGUAUCAAAGUACAAAGUCUUUCUCACUUCAAUCUUGUCUCUCUCACUCUCUCAAAAUGGUAUACCCAAGAGCACACUGGAGCAAUCCAUCUAUUUGUAGAUUCUGAUUCCCAAGAAAUCUGACCUAUAUCAGUUGGUGCCAGGAGUCAUCCUAGGAAGUAGAUUCUAAACUGGAAUUUGGAACCUGGGCUUCCAGUCAGGUAGCAAUGAAGAGCAGCUCAGGUGGGAAGAGUGCCAAUAGCCCUCAGUAUAUAGUAGUAAGCAAGACCAUAGGCAAGAUUCAGCUAUUCUGAAUUAAACAGUGUUUCAGCUUAUACCAUCUGCUUUCAAUGCCACAUAAUUCACCAAAGGAUUAAAGACAAUGGCAGUGGAUGCCUGUUACAGAAACUUAAAAAUACUGAAGGAAAAAAAAAAAAAUACCGAAGGCCAGAAUUCCAUCCUUCCUUCUGUAAAUCAGCCUUCUUCCCUCUCUACCAAUGAACUACUUCAUUAACUGCCUCUUUUUCAAGACACUGGUCAUACUUCUCCUAAGCAAUCACAGCAGACUCUCGGCAUGUUUCCCUAAGUCUCCAAGAUUUAACUCAAGUACAACUUCCUAAAUAUUUCUCAGUGUCCUUCCCCUGGAUUGCUUGCAUGUCCUUCCUCUCUGCCUCCGUAGCGUCCUGUAUAAACAUUUAUGUAGGGCAUAUCAGCCUCCCAUAAUUUAUUGCUUAGUCAUAUGCCCUCUUGAUCUUGAGCUACUUUAGGGUAAUGAGCUAUGAUCAUUUGAUUCCCAGCCUUGACCAUAGUGCCUAGAAAACCAUAGAUAAUUAUCUACGUGUUACUUUAUAUAUUCCUCCCAUUUUACACAUUUGUAACAUUGCAGAUCUUUUCUUCAUUGGUCCUCUAGUAUUUUAAAUAUUAUACUCAUAGCAGCAGAAUUACAGCUUAUUUGAG